rnacentral:ncRNA from 1 species
GUUUGUGGUGGCCAAGCGUUCACACCGAUGUUGCUCUUUGAUCCUUCUAUGUCAGCUCUUCCUAUCAUUGUGAAGCAGAAUUCACCAAGCACUGGAUUGUUCACCCACUAAUAGGGAACACGAGCUGGGUUUAGACUGCUGUGAGACAGGUU